rnacentral:rRNA from 1 species
AUUGAACGCUGGCGGCAGGCCUAACACAUGCAAGUCGAGCGGAUGAAGGGAGCUUGCUCCUGGAUUCAGCGGCGGACGGGUGAGUAAUGCCUAGGAAUCUGCCUGGUAGUGGGGGAUAACGUCCGGAAACGGGCGCUAAUACCGCAUACGUCCUGAGGGAGAAAGUGGGGGAUCUUCGGACCUCACGCUAUCAGAUGAGCCUAGGUCGGAUUAGCUAGUUGGUGGGGUAAAGGCCUACCAAGGCGACGAUCCGUAGCUGGUCUGAGAGGAUGAUUAGUCACCCUGGAACUGAGACACGGUCCAGACUCCUACGGGAGGCAGCAGUGGGGAAUAUUGGACAAUGGGCGAAAGCCUGAUCCAGCCAUGCCGCGUGUGUGAAGAAGGUCUUCGGAUUGUAAAGCACGUUAAGUUGGGAGGAAGGGCAGUAAGUUAAUACCUUGCUGUUUUGACGUUACCAACAGAAUAAGCACCGGCUAACUUCGUG